ACUUUCCUAGUCAAGCCGCGGAGUGGGCGGGGCCUCCUGCCCAGACUUGAAGCCACACAGGCAGGUCGGGCAGGCGGGUCGCAGGUUGUAAAUCCAUGUGGCGGGGGCUUUGGACCCUGGCGGCCCAAGCGGCACGUGGGCCUCGCAGAUUGUGCACUCGCCGGAGCAGCGGCCCACCAGCCCCCGGCUCCGGCGCCACCAUCUUCGCGCUAAGCUCUGGCCAAGGCCGCUGCGGCAUCGCGGUGAUCCGGACCAGCGGCUCCGCCAGCGGCCACGCCCUCCGAAUUCUCACGGCACCCCGAGACCUGCCCCCUGCUCGCCACGCCAGCGUGCGCCUCCUCAGAGACCCCCGCUCCGGGGAGCCUCUGGACCGCGCACUGGUACUCUGGUUCCCAGGUGAGGGUCCCCAGGUUCCGAGCCUCCUAUAGGUCCCAUGACUCAGUUUCCCCCUUCCAAGGGUUUGCACUGGCUGUGCUGUCCUCCUGACUGUCAGCUGUCUGCCACAUUAGGUCCCCAGAGUUUCACUGGUGAGGACUGCGUGGAGUUCCACGUGCAUGGAGGCCCGGCAGUGGUGAGCGGCGUCCUGCAGGCCUUGG
rnacentral:sRNA from 1 species